UUCAGCAAGCAUCGAUGCCAUUUUUUCCACAUGGAGGAAUGCUGUUUCACUCCUUUUCUUCAUACACACUUCCACAUCAGACAUCAUUCUCUCAGAUCCCCCCUCUGCUGCUGUUUCUCAAAUGGCAAUAAAAUGUUGCAGAAUUUUGGUGGGGAGGCUCAACUUCUACUGCUGUAGCACCAGCACCCACUUCUGACAUUGGUGACCAACAUCAUAAAAUAGGAUGCAUUACUUUCAGAGCAGGCCUUAUAUUUUUCUUUGACUGUAAGAUGUGGUAUGAUCAGUGUUUCUUCAUGAGCCCCAAUAAUAUUUUAUACAAGGUGAGAAUUUGAGCCAUUGACUUCAUUUAAUUUCAUUUCUUCAGGGAGAAAAAAGAAAUGAUGAAUGUUUAAAAAAAAUAAUAUCGUAAUGAAGCUGUAAAUUAAUUUCAUUUCAACUGUUUUACUAUUUAUAAAUCAUGGAUGAAAUAAGCCAGAAAAGCAAGAUGUUCAAUUAUUAUAAUUAUCACCUAGGACCUUUCAAAUAGUGCAUACCUGUGUUCAUGUCAGACUGCAUAUUGUAGUAGAAUUUUCUGUUCCAUUAGCCAGCAAAUCUCUUUUAUGACUGUUUUUCUCAUUCUAUUGUCCUGUGAGAAAUGCAUGCUAAAUUUUUUUUGUUAUCCAAUGCUUUCAGUAAUAUUGCCAUAUUAAAGGUAUACAAAGUGAGAGAAAGGAGGGGUAGGCGAGAACUACUGUGGCUUUAUAAAUUCAGCUUUCCUAAGGCAAAAGUCUGGCAGAAUUAUUAGAAAAUGAACAUAUAUAUGUUUUAUGCAUGUCUUAUCAUCUUUUGGGAUUAAUUGUGUUUUUUUUUCUGUAGAUCUGCAUCCUGGCUGGUGUUUUCUAUUUUAUAUUUAUGUGCUUGACCACCCUUAAACAAAUGUCAUAAAUUAACUUGUAAUAGUGAACUUCUUGCAGUACAACUAAUUCCUGCAGAUGCUCUCAUGCUAUUGUAUAUAAACUUGUUGUAAUUUUC
ensembl:lncRNA